rnacentral:rRNA from 1 species
UACGUAGGCAGCGAACGUUGUUCGGAUUCACUGGGCUUAAAGGGCGCGUAGGCGGCUUGCCAAGUCAGGGGUGAAAUCUUUCGGCUCAACCGGAAAAUGGCCCCUGAUACUGGCGGGCUGGAGGGAGGUAGGGGCAGAUGGAACUUCCGGUGGAGCGGUGAAAUGCGUAGAUAUCGGAAGGAACGCCGGUGGCGAAAGCGGCGCACUGGAUUCUUCUGACGCUGAGGCGCGAAAGCUAGGGGAGCAACGGG